CGGGGGCGCCUAGGAUUGGAGAGAAGAGGGGAGAGGUCAGUCCGUGAGGGGCAGGUCUCUCGAGGCGUUCUCAUGAAGUAGGUGCAGGGCACUGGGCACUGUGACGCCCGCGGGUUCGACAGAUGCAAAGCCCAGGUCUGCCAGCUGCAGACUUUGGGAGUUCAGGCGGGUGACUUGACUUCCCUGAGCUGACUCUACCGUCUGUGAAGCAGGGAUGAGAAUACUCACAGAUGCUGAGAGGACACGUGUUCAGUGUCCAGCAUGAGGCCUGGUGCACGGUGGCCACUCCUUGUUCUAACUUCAGGCCUCGUCCAUAGUUCUACACGUGCACUCAGGUUGGGGACUGACAGCUGGACAGCUCUGGGAACAGGCCAAGUCUGUCCAAGACUGUCUGUCCUGCUCCGGCUGGCCUGGCCUUCCACACCUCCUCAUGGUCUUUGUUUGCUGGACUCAGCCCCGCCACAGCCCACUCCCCAGUCCCAACUCCAGGCUUUGCUCAUGACCUGUUUGGCAGCUGGGGCCAGCGAUGAAGUCAGGCAGUAUGGAGGAGAAGGCCAAGAAAAUGAGGCAUGAGAAACAGAUGCCUCCCAGUGUGCGUGGGCACAGCAACAGCCCAGAAAAAGGGCAACUCCUCCAGGAAGCAUACCCCGACCACACCAGCCUCUCCUCUGAGCUCUCGGGGCUACCGCCUUCUGAAUCGUUUACUUGGCAUGUGGAAAGAGAAAGCAUCCCUUGGAGACUAUCCGGUGGACCCUGCUAGACUGUGGAACCCCUGGAAGAUAAUGAGGGUCAUGGCUCACAUCCUCCAUCCCAGGCCCAGAGCCUGACACACGGCAGGGAGAGCUCAGUACACACCUGAAGAAGGUGAUUCACCAAAUGGCUGUGGACACCUGCUCCCACCCAGCUCUGGCCUAGGGCCUGGGCGAGCUGACAAGAUGAAGACAUGGCCCCUUCCUCAAAGCGCCCGGUCUAGAGCUCAGGCCAGGGCUCAGAUGGCCUGACCAACCUCUGGCUGCGUGGACCUGCAAAUCACCACCUCCCAGAGCUGCGCUGACCCUGCGGACACAAAGCAGUGAGUAGCCGUCACUGCCCGAGGCACUCAGAGCGCUGGGAGCACAGAGGAAGGAGAACCAUCUGGCUCCUGAGGACAGCGGGCAGUCGUGGAGGACAGCGUUAGGCCGCCAGGGCCAGGGCCCAGUGAAGGCCUGGCUUUCUGCAGCCGCCUCGGCCUAGAAGUGGUGGGAGCAGAACCCAGGCUGGCCUGAGAGAUGAAGUCCGGUGCCCACAGUCGGCUGUCUGAGAACUCUGCUGUGACAUCAUUCGCUUGGCAAAGAGAAUCCUGCAGCUUUUGAGCUGGGGAGGAGCCAGCCCAAUCCUGUCAUUUCACAGAGGAGGCAACGAAAGCCCAGAGAGGUCGAAUGCAACAAAGAUACGAACUACUAGAAGAUGAACCAAAAGAAUUAUCUACUAAUGCCUCGAUGGAACAUUGUGAUCCAGAGGUCACAUGGACACAUAAGUUAGAGGAAUACUGUGGGAAGAUUUCAGUUACCAAGGAAAUAUUCAAUAACUGGCUUUGUUGCAAAAAUAUGACAAAGACAAGCAAAACCUACUCUCCCAGGAGCCCCCAAACCACCAAUCUAGAUUAAAGAAAAAAUGGUCCCUAGUAGCAAUAGAAAUGCUCAAUGCUACAAAAUGAAGGCAACACAGGUUCGAGACUAAAUAGAUAAAGAGAACCAGAGAACUAGAGAGGUUAGUUCUAAGUUUGAGCUCUGAGGAGAGAACAGAGCUGUCUGGGAUAGUGGGGGGCCUCCCUCCUUCCUCCUGGGGCUCCCUGGGUGACUGGCCCAGAUAUUGGGCCCACCUGCCAACUAUAUGUUCUGGGACUACCAGAUCUCCCUGGUUACAUAGUCUAUUCUCUAGAGCUAAGAGCUGCUAGAUUUUUAGGUUGAACAGUCUUCCCACAAAGACACACACUUCCUGGGAAGGGUUCAGGGAAUCUGGUUGUAGCCAUACAAAUUCCUGUGAAAAAGAAUCCUGAUUAUGCCCUAGCCAGUCUGCUCAGUGGUUAGAGCAUCGGCCGGAGGACUGAAGGGUCCUGAGUUCGAUUCCGGUCAAGGGCAUGUACCUCAACCCCCGGUCCUGGUUGGGGCAGGUGCGGGAGGCAACCAGCUGAUAUAUCUCUCUCACAUAAGAUGUCUCUCCCUCUCCCUUCCACUCUCUUUAAAAAUCAAUGGGAAAACUAUCCUCGGGUGUAGAUUAACUUCAACAACAACAAAAGAAUCCUGAUUGGGAGUCUUUGGAACCAUUUUCUAGGGGGAAAAAUUGUUGGCAAUAUUGCUGUGAAGGACUAGAAUGAAAAAAUAAUGGUAUUUGUUAAGGGUUGACUUGUUUCCCCUCACAAUUCAUGUGCUGAAGUACUAACCCCCAGUACCUGGGAAUAUGACCUUACUUGGAACUAGGGUCUUUGGAGAUAAUCAUGUUUGAAUGUGGCCCCAAACAUGUAUCCUAUAUAAUAAAAGCCUAAUAUGCUAA